rnacentral:rRNA from 1 species
GUCCACGCUGUAAACGAUGGGUACUAGGUUUGGUGGGUCUUGACCCCCGCCGAACCGGCGCUAACGCAAUAAGUACCCCGCCUGGGAAGUACGGUCGCAAGACUAAAACUCAAAGGAAUUGACGGGGGCCCGCACAAGCGGUGGAUCAUGUGGUUUAAUUCGAAGCAACGCGAAGAACCUUACCUGGAUUUGACAUCUCCUGACAACCCUAGAGAUAGGGCUUCUGUAGCAAUACAGCAGGAAGACAGGUGCUGCAUGGCUGUCGU